GGACUCUAGGAGCAGCAGUGGGGAAUAUUGGACAAUGGGCGAAAGCCUGAUCCAGCCAUGCCACGUGUGUGAAAAAGGUCUUCGGAUUGUAAAGCACUUUAAGUUGGGAGGAAGGGCAGUAAGCGAAUACCUUGCUGUUUUGACGUUACCGACAGAAUCCGCACCGGCUCC
rnacentral:rRNA from 1 species